rnacentral:rRNA from 1 species
UUCCGUAGGUGAACCUGCGGAAGGAUCAUUAAAAAGGUCUAUGACCAAACCCUUUGGUCCGGCUCGUCCGGCCAGAGUUCAACCAACGUGGAUUACCACUUUCUGCUUCGGCAGCGGGUCGGGGCCUGUCUCCGGCUGUCAGCCUGCCGGCGGCACCUUCAAUUCAAACCUGUUUGUCAAAACCAGUCUGAACUGAAUGAUUUCUUGAAUGAAUAUCAAAACUUUCAACAACGGAUCUCUUGGUUCUCGCAUCGAUGAAGAACGCAGCGAAACGCGAUAGUUAAUGUGAAYUGCAGAAUUCAGUGAAUCAUCGAGUCUUUGAACGCACAUUGCGCCCCUCGGUAUUCCGGCGGGCAUGUCUGUUUGAGCGUCAUUACGACCCUUCGGUUGGACCUUUUGGUCCCRACCGGUUGUGGGUUGGSUGGGCCUCUGCGCCCCGCCGGCCUUAAACACCAGCGCUCUGCGAGCGGUUGCGCCGUCAAGAACAUAGUAAUUUUGCUCCUGUUCGACGAGCGGCAGCGGCCGGCUUCGCCUGAACAAACCCRCCUUCAAGGUUUGACCUCAGAUCAGACAAGGAUACCCGCUGAACUUAAGCAUAUCAAUAASCGGAGGAAAAGAAACCWACCGGGAUUGCCUCAGUAACGGCGAGUGAAGCGGCAAGAGCUCAAWUUUGAAAUCUGGGGCCUUYGGCCUCCGAGUUGUAAUUUGAAGAGGAUGCCUCGGUUGCGGCCCCGGCCUAAGUUCCUUGGAACAGGACGUCGCAGAGGGUGAGAAUCCCGUACGCGGCUGUGGGUUUGCUUCCAUGUGUGGCUCCCUCGAAGAGUCGAGUUGUUUGGGAAUGCAGCUCAAAAUGGGUGGUAAGUUUCAUCUAAGGCUAAAUACUGGCGAGAGACCGAUAGCGCACAAGUAGAGUGAUCGAAAGAUGAAAAGCACUUUGAAAAGAGAGUUAAACAGUACGUGAAAUUGUUGAAAGGGAAGCGCUUGCGAUCAGACUUGCGUUCGRCGGAUCAACGUUCCUUCUGGUUCGUGCACUCCGCCGUGCCGCAGCCCAGCAUCGGUCAGGACGGCGGGACAAAGGCUCCGGGAAUGUGGCUCUCUUCGGGGAGUGUUAUAGCCCGGCGCGCAAUGCCGUCAGCCCUGACYGAGGWCCSCGYUCMCGYUAGGAUGCUGGCKUAAUGGYYKUAAGCGACCCGUCUUGAAACACGGACCAAGGAGUCUAACAUSUACGCGAGUGUUUGGGYGUCAAACCCAUGCGCGCAAUGAAAGUGAACGGAGGUGGGAKCCCYCGGGCGCACCAUCGACCGAUCCUGAUGUCCUCGGAUGGAUUUGAGUARGAGCRUAGCUGUUGGGACCCGAAAGAUGGUGAACUAUGCCUGAAUAGGGUGAAGCCAGAGGAAACUCUGGUGGAGGCUCGCAGCGGUUCUGACGUGCAAAUCGAUCGUCAAAUUUGGGUAUAGGGGCGAAAGACUAA